rnacentral:piRNA from 1 species
UGAAAUCAGAGUUUGGGAAUGACAUC